rnacentral:rRNA from 1 species
AUACGUAGGUGGCGAGCGUUGUCCGGAAUUACUGGGCGUAAAGGGUGCGUAGGCGGUUUUUUAAGUGGGAUGUGAAAUCCCUGGGCUCAACUCAGGAAUUGCAUUCCAUACUGGGAGGCUAGAGUGCAGGAGAGGAAAGCGGAAUUCCCAGUGUAGCGGUGAAAUGCGUAGAGAUUGGGAGGAACACCAGUGGCGAAGGCGGCUUUCUGGACUGUAACUGACGCUGAGGCAUGAAAGUGUGGGGAGCAAACAGGAUUAGAUACCCUGGUAGUCCACACCGUAAACGAUGGGCACUAGGUGUAGGGGGCGUAGCCCUCUGUGCCGCAGUUAACACAUUAAGUGCCCCGCCUGGGGAGUACGAUCGCAAGAUUAAA